AACUAUAACGGUCCUAAGGUAGCGAAAUUCCUUGUCAGGUAAGUUCUGACCCGCAUGAAAGGCGUAAUGAUUUGGGCACUGUCUCAACAGCCCGCCCGGCGAAAUUGUAGUACCGGUGAAGAUGCCGGUUACCCGCGACAAGACGGAAAGACCCCAUGGAGCUUUACUGUAGCCUAAUAUUGGGUUUCGAUGUUGCAUGCACAGGAUAGAUGGGACACAGGGAAACAAGUGCUUUGGCAUUUGUGGAGUGGCCGUUGGGAUACCAUCCUUGCGAUAUUGGAAUUCUAACCUGCGCCUUUGAAUCAAGGCGGGGGACAUUGUUAGGUGGGCAGUUUGACUGGGGCGGUCGCCUCCUAAAGAGUAACGGAGGCGUUCAAAGGUUCGCUCAGCUUGAACGGAAAUCAAGCAAAAGAGUGCAAACGCAGAAGCGAGCCUAACUGCGAGACUGACGGGUCGAGCAGUAACGAAAGUUGGAGUUAGUGAUCCGGUGGUAUGUGAGUGGAAAUGCCAUCGCUCAACGGAUAAAAGUUACCCUGGGGAUAACAGGCUGAUCUCCCCCAAGAGUCCACAUCGACGGGGAGGUUUGGCACCUCGAUGUCGGCUCAUCGCAUCCUGGGGCUGUAUUCGGUCCCAAGGGUUUGGCUGUUCGCCAAUUAAAGCGGUACGCGAGCUGGGUUCAGAACGUCGUGAGACAGUUCGGUCCCUAUCUGUCGUGGGCGCAGGAUAUUUGAUGGGAGCUGUUCCUAGUACGAGAGGACCGGAGCGGACGUACCUCUGGCGCACCAGUUGUUCUGCCAAGGGCAUAGCUGGGCAACUAUGUACGGAUCGGAUAAACGCUGAAAGCAUCUAAGCGUGAAGCCGACCCAAAGAUAAGAUAUCCCAUUGUUUCAAACAAGUAAGACCCCUUGAAGACUACAAGGUUGAUAGGCACGAUGUGUAAGUGGAGUGAUCCAUUCAGCAAGCGUGUACUAAUAGGUCGAGGGCUUGACCAC
rnacentral:rRNA from 1 species